rnacentral:lncRNA from 1 species
UGAGUCUUAGAUAACUCGAUCAAGUUCUGCACUUGUUGAUCAUUCGUGACAGGCAUAAGAGGAGUAUUCGCCUAUUCAGAGUCAUUUGUUGUAAAAUAACGUCUGCUAAGGAAAAUGUUAGCACCAUCUUCUCGAUUUUCUUGUCCAAAUCAUAAUCUUCUUGUGCCAUUUCAAGAAGUUCACCAUGUGUACAGCCAUCAUGCACAAGGAACAUUCUUCCUCCUUUCCGAUUAUUGACCACAAACUCUCACAAAGAGUCUUUCACCACUCAUUCUCCGUAUACAACAGGUAACAGAGCUAUUUUCGGAAAAAUACAGUUUACAUAAUUAGCGGAGAAAUAUUUCAUGUUUCAUAAAACUAUAAAGGUAGACUUACAAAUACGUCUACAAUUACUAGCUAACAACAUAGUCAAAUUAAAAGUAUUAUACUUUCAUAAUUAUAACAGAUUUUCUUUUCAAAAUCACUCGAACCCGUUAGGAUUAACUAAUACACACUGUCAAACAAAAAAAGUCUUGAAAAAACUUAAUGAAUAAUACACAAAUUCACUUUUAAUAUAUUUUCAAUGUAGACUCCAUAUUCAAUCAACGAAGAUGUAGACGUUAUUUUCAGUUUACUAAUGUAGACUAUCAAAUAGGUCUACUCUUUGGGUUAGUUUUUGCAAUUGAAAAUUUUACGGGUUACUUUCUAUAUUUGAAAAAAAGUUGUGAUUUUACACAUGUAGACUUCCAUUUCAGUCUACACUUCAAAAUGAUUAGUUUUUUCAAUUGACCAAAAUUUACCCAUGAUUUGACUUCCGGGAGUUGACUUCAUAUGCAGUCAACAUUUUUGAGGUUUUUUGAAAGAUGUUAGUUCUACGAGUAAAUGGAAACGAACAUCUACAUAUUUUUAGACUUCGUUUGAAGUCUACUAUCAAAUUCGACGGGUUAGUUUUUCAUUUGACCAAAAUAAAAUAGUAGACUUCACAUGUAGUCUACCUUUUUUUUUAAGAUAAGAAGACUGCAUAUGAAGUCUAC